rnacentral:hammerhead_ribozyme from 1 species
AUCCAGCUGAUAAGUUCCAAAAAGGACGAAACGCGCUUUCUGGAU